AGUGGAUGGGGAGCAACCUAGUUGUGCGUGUGUAAAGGUAGUGCCAAGAAAAGCGGUGAUCAUGAUGAAAAUCAAUUCCCGGUACCCGAAACCGACACAGGUGGGCAAGUAGAGAAUACUAAGGGGCGCGAGGUAACUCUCUCCAAGGAACUCGGCAAAAUGACCCCGUAACUUAGGGAGAAGGGGUGCCACCGAGAGGUGGUCGCAGUGAAGAGGCCCAGGCGACUGUUUAGCAAAAACAUAGGUCUCUGCAAACUCGAAAGAGGAGGUAUAGGGGCUGACGCCUGCCCAGUGCCGGAAGGUUAAAGAAGUUGGUCAGUCUUAGGAUAAAGCUAGCGACUGAAGCCCCGGUGAACGGCGGCCGUAACUAUAACGGUCCUAAGGUAGCGAAAUUCCUUGUCGGGUAAGUUCCGACCCGCACGAAAGGCGUAACGAUCUGGGCGCUGUCUCGGAGAGAGGCUCGGCGAAAUAGGAUUGUCUGUGAAGAUACGGACUACCUGCAUUUGGACAGAAAGACCCUAUGAAGCUUUACUAUAGCUUGGAAUUGUGUUCGGGCUUCCUGUGCGCAGGAUAGGUGGGAGGCGAAGAAGGUAUUCUUGUGGGGAUACUGGAGCCAACGGUGAGAUACCACUCUCAGGAGGCUAGAAUUCUAACUUAAUUAAGGACAGCUUCAGGUGGGUAGUUUGACUGGGGCGGUCGCCUCCAAAAAGGUAACGGAGGCGUACAAAGGUUCCCUCAGACUGGUUGGAAAUCAGUCGCAGAGUGCAAAGGCAGAAGGGAGCUUGACUGCGAGAAGUACAGUUCGAGCAGGGUGGAAACACGGUCUUAGUGAUCCGACGGUGCUGUGUGGAAGGGCCGUCGCUCAACGGAUAAAAGUUACUCUAGGAUAACAGGCUGAUCUCCCCCAAGAGUUCACAUCGACGGGGAGGUUUGGCACCUCGAUGUCGGCUCAUCGCAACCUGGGGCGGAAGUACGUCCCAAGGGUUGGGCUGUUCGCCCAUUAAAGCGGUACGUGAGCUGGGUUCAGAACGUCGUGAGACAGUUCGGUCCAUAUCCGAUGUAGGCGUGAGAAUAUUGAGAGGAGCCUUCCUUAGUACGAGAGGACCGGGAAGGACGCACCGCUGGUGUACCUGUUAUGAUGCCAAUUGUAAACGCAGGGUAGCCAAGUGCGGAGAGGAUAACCGCUGAAAGCAUCUAAGUGGGAAGCCCACCUCAAGAUGAGUAUUCUGGUGUAAGGUCACGGGAAGACGACCCGUAAAUAGGCACGAGGUGGAAGUGCAGAGAUGUAUGAAGCCGAAGUGUACUAAUAGACCGUCGGCUUGACC
rnacentral:rRNA from 1 species